AAUUUAAAGUUCAAAGUUACUUUUCAAUUUUUAUUUACUUCUAUAAUUAAAGCUAAAAUUUAAAAUGUAAUACCUAAUUGACCAACAAAUAAACGUUAGUUAAGUUGUUCAGGCGAUAGAGGUGCUUAGAUGAUUGUGGGUUGCUUUAAUGAUGUUUACUUGGAAUAUGAUAGCUGGUGUCCCUGGUGACAAUGAACUGAAUAUUAUUAUACUUAGUGAUUGGAGAAUAACCUGUACAAAUAUCCAAGUGGUGUUUUUAUUCAUAAAUCAUAAAAUAUUAAGUUCAUAACCAACCAAGUUUACAAUAAUAAUCACACAAUACAUUAUAAUAUGCGUAAAAAUGAGAAUUUAAUUUUGUGAUUUUAUAUUGAACA